AAAACAGGAAGAAAGGCUUACUUAAGGUUUGGUUCUGCUGAUAUAGAGGAUGGUCAAAUUUCUCUUUUUGAUGUUCUUGGUUGAGUCCAGCAGCCAAUUCAUGAGAAGUCAGUCUCUCAGCUCCAGAACACCAAAGACCUGUGCUGUUCUCCACUCUGAGAAUGAGAAGCAGCUGGAGCUGCCAUCCUUCAGAGACAAAAUCCAGGUGGGAUCCAGAUGGAAUGGAGCCUUCAGCUUCUUCACAGUGAUGGAGGGCUGCCUGCUCACUCUUUGGCAGGAUCACAGAGGACAGGGUGAUCCUCAGUCCUUCAUGAGUGGUGCUUACCCCAGUGUCACUGGUUCCUUUUCUGCCUUCCUGUGCAGCUGUGUGGGAGAGGAAAGUGGAAUCGAGGGCCUUACUUCAACCUUCGCUGAUUUCCGAAAGAGGCACCUUGCACCCAAGAACGCAAAAGGCGACAAUAAUUUCUGCACAGCUCAAAUAAGGAACAGAAACCUUACUGAUCACGGGUCAUGCAAACGACGGAACACAUUUGUAUUUUCUGACGAGGACGUGGUUAUAAAUGUAUGUAGAACAGGAGGUAGCCACUAUCCUGACAAACGGCAUAACAAUCUGUAUAAGAGCAAUGACUUGUUCAAUCUGACAGAGUGCUCAUGGACAAAUGAGCCUGAAGAACCGCCCAACUGUAGUUACACAGCAGAUAUGAAAACAAGGUUUAUCAUUCUAGCUUGUAGGAAGAAACUGCCCGUACAUUUUCAAAAAAGCGUACCAAAUUAACCUUAUUUCAUAGUUUUCAUGAUUACCCUUAACCUGAACUAACCUAACUUUUUUGUUCUGCACUGAAUAAUUAAAUCAAGAAUUGUCCUUCAUUAAAAGGUACCAUAUUGUUGUUUAAUCGUCCCUGAUCUAUUAAGAUGGGUGUGUUGCAAUUUGUGAAUUGAGGCUACUCAUCAGAAAAGGUUGAGAAAGGUACAGAGCAGAAAUAAGCUUGUAUAAUGCAGCACAGAACUGAAAACCUACUGUUAGAAAAGUCCAGGUCACUGUGAGGAAAAACUGUUUUAUGUUUUGCCUAAAUGAGGCACUUUCUUUAUUGAAAAAGAAGAAAAAUCUUUUGUUUUGUUUCUGAACAAUAAAAGUGCCCAUCCCUUUGCGGAAAUAUAUUUA